ACCAGUCUCGUGUGAUACUCUCCGGAGAUGAAAAAACUGACUAUAUUAAUGCCUCAUUUGUCGACGGCAAAACUGACAAUUAUUACAUCGCGACCCAAGGACCCAAACCCAAAACAGUCAACGACUUUUGGAGGAUGAUAUUCGAACACAAGUGUCCAACUAUUGUGAUGUUGACGACAUUAAAAGAAAUGGGAAAGGUGAAAUGUGAAAAGUAUUGGCCAGAUGAAUCCAAGAUAUACGGUACGAUCCAGGUGACCAUCACCAAGACAAAAGCUUUUGCUGAUUACGUCAUGAG